rnacentral:lncRNA from 1 species
UUCUGAAUUCUUUCUAAAAAAACAGUGUAAAAAAAUGCUUGUCUCUUUAUCUGUAGAUCUAAAAAAAAAUCAUUUCUAAUUCAUCUUGUUUGGAAAUAUGAAUACGAAAAGUUGUAUAUUUUAAUUUUUUUUAUUUUUACAAAAUACCGUUGUUGGGAAUGUGAAUAAUCUAAGAUUAAAUGUAGGGGUGGUAAAAGAUUAAAUGUAGGGGUAUAUGGUAUAAUAUCCUGGAUAUGGUAGGCUUAUAUUACUUAGAACCCAAAUCAUGUUACUUAGGCCCGUCAUCAUGGACUUUUUUCAUGUGGUUUCCAUGCAGGCUAGUUGAAUAUUGCUCUUUAGGCAUCCAUGUUUUGCUCUCAGACAUUUUGAAAUUAUUAUUUUACCUCAAUGAAAAUUAAUUACCAUUUGUUGAUGAACGAUGGUUAGUUUUCAUUCUCUUAUGAACAGUAGUUAAUUGUCGUUCUAGGGCAUUUUAUGUGGUUCAGAUUGCGCAGACAGUUUUUGUGGUCCACGAUACAUAAAAACUUCUAUAAAUUGGUGUGUUUGGUUCAUUUGAAACCACACCACAAAAUCAUGAAUAUUUAUCUAGUAGAUCCGAACACCAAAUUAGCGCAGUUAACUACAACGGGGAAAACUCAAUAUGUUUAGGGUUCAGGUUAAUGCUAUAUCGGUUGACUUGAAGGAACAUAGUUGGACCAAAUUAACAGUCGACUCAACCACAAAGACACAAGAAAGGUGGAAAGUGUUGAGUAUCGUCAUCCAUUCGUUUGACUCAUAUGAAAGCGUCAAGUUCACCCAUAUGAAGUUCAAGAACAACGACAUCGUGAGAACCAUCAAGUUAGACGCUUCAUUGGUCAAAUAUUUUUUAGAUGUUCCGGAAAGUUUGAUUCAGAUUAGGACCUUCAAAGAAAACAGGACUUGCAUGGAUAGACCAAAAGAAAUAAGUAUGUCUUAUUCGUGAUUUUGUAUGUGUUUUAUUAUGUUGUUAAAUUAUGUUAGUGUAUUGUGUUUUAUUAUGUUUAAUGUAUGUUUUUGUUAACUUAUGUCAUUGAAAUUAUGUUAAUGUAUUGUAUUUUAUUAUGUUUAAUGUAUGUUCUUCUGAGCUUUCCUUUGUAACUAAUGAUUAACUACAGUUUCUUCUGAAAACAACAAUUAACUAUUGUUCCUAGAAUGGGAGUUAACUCUUGUUUAACAACGAAAAAUAAUUAAUUAUUAUUUCGGAUAAAAUAGUCAAUUUGAGACGUGUUAAAACAAAGUAUGAGUGUCUAACGAACAAUUUUCAAGAUAGUUUAGUCCUUUUUGGGUUCUACCUUUUUUUUUUAUGAGUAACUUCUACACCUAGUUUCCAUUCUUUUUUGUGUUAAUUGUCCGAUUUCUUAGCAUGUGCGUAACUCACGCAGCGUGACUUAAGUCACACAUGUGUAAAAACUAAGUCAUGUAUUUUUUACACUUGCGCUAAUUAACUAACGCAAGGGUAUUUUCGGCAACACUGCAGGGCGCGAGUGUUUUGUGUUGGGUGAAGAGCAGAAUUCUAAAGUCAUAUAUAUAUAUUAUGGUUUUAAAAGGGUAAUUGCUAAAUCAGAUUCAUAGGAAGCAACUAAGUUAAUAUUGAAAGGGCAUGGUAAAGGGCACCCUUGUUCUCAUAUCAUUUCUCAUAUUUCUAAUUUUCUUGUCUAAUUCAUGAGUUACAAGUUUCAACGUGUCUAACGUGAAGCCAACAAAGUCGUGAAUGCUUUUGCAAGGAAUAUCCAACUUCAAAGUAUUAGCGCAGCUUUAACUUGAUGAACAAACUUAGAGUUUUCUAGGGUUUUAAUUUGAUUUUGUUGAAAUAGAGAGAGAAUGAGAAGAAUGGGUGAAUGAGGAGACAAGAAGUAUUAAAGUUGUGAUUUCAUUUAUAUGUAAAAAUACACAUGAAAGUAGCUUAUAUACAUGGUUUUUUGCUAGGUUACUUGAAGUACAAGUCAUAUAACAAACCCUAAAUACCUUAAGCUAAAAUCUAGUAAAUUUGUAACAAACUAUUAACAAACUAAACUAACUAGAUUUCUAAUGUGAUUAACCAAACAAGCUUGAUUAGAUCACUAACAAACUUGAAUUAUCAACUAACACAAAGUUGCGAUAAUAUAAAAAUAAUAUCAGAACUAGUCUCUCUUCAAAUGAAUGAUGCAUCACAACUUAUCUUUCUCCUUUGAUGGAAAAAUUUGUUCUAAUACCAAUUAUUGAAGGAAAAAAAUCAAUAAAAAAUCUUUAAACAAGCGGGAACACAACCACAAAAUAAGUAAAAGAGAUAAAAACAAAUCACAAGCCUAUUUUUCGAUACUUCACAGUUCACACCUUCAUUCAUAAUAUCUUAACAAAAUAUUUGUUACAAAAAUAUGCAUAGUUUUACUAGGAAUUGCAAACCCUCUUGUACAAUUAUAAUUUUUGCACAGAAAUAUUGCAAACUAAUCUUUCUCAAUUACAAUUUUUGUAAGAAAAACUACAAACUCUUUCAUGACACACAACUACCCAACCUCUUUUUUUUUUUUUUUUUUUUUCAUUACUCGAUGUGCGAUGUGAAAGAAUAUCAAUUUUAGAGAACAAAUGGCUAUAAUUUAUAGGUGGCCUUUAUGAUUUUUGGCACAAAUUUUCAUACUGUGAAAUGUGAAUAGAUGCAUGUGCAGAGAUGGAGUUCAUAAUUUAAAUCUUACGUUAAAAAUAAAACAAGUUUUUAAUGUUAUAGUUUAAAAAUAAAAAAUUGUUUCUUAUAUACAAUAUUUUUAUGAAUAUUUACAUAGUUCUUAAAAAAAUUAAUAAUGAAUGGUAUAUUCGUGUCCUGUAUGACACAAUGAAACAUAUGCACAUGAUUAAAUUAUACAUUAAGCCUAAUCAUAUGAUCUGAAAAGAUUUUCUCUACAUUUCGUCGAGCUAGCAAGGUAGAUAGAUGUCAACUAAUAAGUUGAUGAAAUCGGCUAAAAAAGAUUCCCAGUUGAAGUUUAUUAUUUUUUUGGUGCAACCCAGUUGAAGAUUUUAUUAACUUUGAUGAUGGCUCUGAACUACCAAGUUUUCUAGAACUUGAACAAGUCCUUAAUUUUAGUUGAAUUGCAAUACUAUGUCUAUAUGUAUAGUAUACCGUUUCUGGUUUCAUAGUCUGUUAAUUUUAAGGAAUUUUUUCAAGUGGCUCAAAAAAAACAUAUACAGUACAUUCUUUAGUUUUAUUUACAUCGUUUUCAAUCUCUUUCGCUUUUUUAAAUAUUUACGCAGAAAACAUUUUUUUUUUUUUUUCAAUCAGAAAGAGGCAAAAUUAAGAUUUGCAUUGGUUUUAGUCAUCACCUACUACAUUAAAUUACUAUUUGUGGAAAAUAUUGUUUAUAGCGUGAAACUGUGCUCUGACUGGCUCACAUGCAAACGGACAGUGGCAAUAUUGUUUAAGGAAGUAUUAAUCUUUUUUUUUUUUUUUUUUUUGACAGAAACCAUAUAGUAUUAAUCUAUUAUUACUACUAUAUAUGCAUAAAAAAGGACCAAUUAACCGACAUGCUUUGAGUUAUUUUGUGUUUUUUUUUUUUAUUGUUUCUGAAAAAAUCAACCAACAUGCUUCUUUUUUUGCGCUAACUAAAACUAAUUUAUUUAUGCUACUAAUCAAUUUAUUAAGACUAAAACUUGAGUACAAGUUAGUCUUUUUUUUUGUAGUUGGUGACCUACAAGUGGUACUCUUGUACUCAUUAUACUCAAAGUCAAGGGUACAUGCGUAUGUGUUAUGCUGAAUUCGAAAAUUCAUAGUCAAGACCCAGCAAUAUCAAGAUAUAUACACACAUGUCCUAAAGUGCAUUCUGGAGAAUAAGAACUACAAGUCUAAAGUUUUUCUUUUUGUUAGUAAAGUUAUUUUAGUCCAAGUUUAGACUAUACAACGCUGACUAUGAAAUAUGAAAGGAAAAAAAAACCUUCAAUUUUUGUCAAAAAAAUAAAUUCCAUUGUCUCUAACUAAUUAUUGAAAUUUUAAACAUGUGUUUGGUCUAACGGUAUGGUAGAAAAAAUCACGGCAAAAAUUCACGGUAACUACAAAAUCUAAAAAUUUGUAAUUUCUUUGAAAUUUGAGUUUGUAACUUCGAACGUCAAAUAAUCGUUCAUUAAGUCUCUAAAGCUCACAUGAUCAGACCAGCUUUGAUUGCAAAAUAUGACCAACUAAUUACUAAUAAACAUUUAAUUUUGUUAGCAGAUCAAUUUAUCUGUUUAAUGUUAAAAUAAAUCUGAUCCAAUUCAAUACUUUUGGACAUAGAUUGAAAUGGUUUCCCCCCCCCCCCCCCCCCCUUUUUUUUUUUUUUUUUUGUAAACUAGGUAUCCUCCGCGCGCAACUGCGGAGACUAAUCCCUCGAGCAUUGUGAGACCCAAAUGGACGGCAGACUCUCCCUAAGAGUUUUAACGCUGCUGGAGGUAUUGUAAAUAAUAUUUUGUGUUAUAUUAUUUUUAAGAGUGUAUAUUUCUAUAUAAAAAGAGUGAGUUUUGCCUUCAACCUCGAGGUAAUCGGUUUGAGACCUAGGCACUGAGAACAUGAGUUUUUUCGAUUAGCUCUUUAAAAAAUUAUUUAUAGGAGGAAUAAUUGUUUUUAUGGAAUUUGUCGUGUAAUAAAAAUCUAAAUCGUCUAGUCUACAAUUUUGUAUAGUCUUCAAUUAUGUUGUGAAUUCGGGCUUUGAAACUUCACACCAAUCCAAACUAUGAUGUGUGGAGAAAGUAUCAAUGGCAACCAACAACCAAAUUAACCAUAAGCAAUAACAAUAAUAUAUACCAAGUCUAUAAACCAAGUGCAUAGCAAAAUCACAAUCCAACCAAAUAAUAAACAAGAUAAAAGAGUAAAGAAAAAUAGACAACAACACCAAGAGAUUGUUCACCCAGUUCGGUCCAACCAUGACCUACUCUGGAGGAGAGAUUGAUCUCUUCAAUCCACUAUCAAUGAGUUCUUACAAAGAGAUACAAAUGAGUUACAAGAAAUUAGCUUCAACAAGCUCACAAAAAACAACCCUAAUUUCUACCAAUUUUCCCAAUCUCACCAAUGAACAAGACACUCAUGAUUUUUACUCUCCCAAGGUGUUUACAAUUGUUUCACAACUCUAGAAUCUAACCCCCAAAAGAGAACCAACUCUUAGCCUUUGAUUUCACUUAGGAUCUUCUCUUUUGGUUUCACAAGACUCACCCAAGUUGCUCGCAAAUGACUCUCCACUCAUGUGUUUCCCAACCCCAUGAAUCUUCUCCAAAAGGCACCAACCCUUUUCACAAGAGCCCCCUCUUUUGGUUCUCCAAGAUUCACAUCUUGAAGCUUUGAACCUCACCCAAAGACCCUCAACCUUUAGUAUCUAAAACCCUAAAAGUUUCAUCCUUUGGUUGUUAUGGGAUUCACCAAGCUUACCCAACAAAUGGAUCAGGGAGUGUUUAAAACAUGUUUCAGAUCUGUCAAAAUCGUGUCACAUUUUGCCUUCAGAACCAAACAUGCAUUCGGCAUCAGAAAUCGUGACACGGUUGCCAAAUCGUGUCAUGAUUCUUCACUUUCAUAAAGACUUAAUUUUGAGUCAUAUAUAUACCAACAAAUUCAAAUUAUAUAAAUGGACGGUAUAUUCUUUAGUAAAAGUAUUAUUUCACAAUUUAAUACGUAUUAUUAAAAGAAAUUAGAAACAAUUAUCAAAAAAUUAUGAUAGAUAAUAUAUUAAACUCGUCUAGUGUGUGUGUAUUUUUGAAGGAUAGUGUGUGUGUGUAUUAACAUCAUUCUCUAAUUAUUUUUGUAGGGAAACAAUGUUGGUUAAAUUGAUGUGUACUUUUUUUUGUAAAAAAUAAUCGACGUAUUUUUAAAUGAGAUUUACAUGUAGAGAGAGACAGCGGUAGACAUAGUAGUAGAACAAUUAAAAUUUAAAAGACCACUUUACAAAUUGCACCAAGUGGUCCUCUAAAAAAGAUCACCGACAGUUGCUUCACUUUACCUUCAUAUAUUUUAGAGCAAUGAUAUUUGAACAAUUAUUUAGUACAACAUUUUUUGACAAUCUUCUUUUUCUCUCUUUUUAUUGGUCAAAAAUAAUGAAGAGAAAAAAGAAGAGAUAGAGUAAAAAUAUAAUAUGAAUAUGAGAAAAAAAAUUGUCUAAAAAUUAUCACAAAAUGGUUGUACAAAUAUUAUUUCUCCAUAUUUUAGACACAGGCUAAUCAUUAAUUAAUUUGUGUAAAAAAAAACAAUAAUAUUAUUUUGACAACAUUAUUCAACACCUUAUCUUUCUUUCAAAAAACAUUAUUCAACACCUUAUGUUCAUAUUAUCAUUUGAUUUUCUUAAUUAUGUUUUACAUCAGUCACAUCAAGUGACAUUUUACACGCUUAUCAAUUUUUUUUGUCAAGUAGCCUAGUGUUUAGAACUCAUAUAAUUUAAUUGUGAAGAAAUGAAGUGUCAGAGAUUCGAACUCCAACCCCUGCAUAUAAUAUGCAAUAUCCCUACCAACUGAACUAAGCUCACGAAGAUCGCGGUUAUCAAUUUUUGUAGUUCAAAUAACAUCACUAAAAAAAGCUACGAGGCAGACGCACAAAUUUUCAUUGAGCAGUUGUGUUAAUUAAUUUUAUAACGCAAGGAAAAUGGUGAAGUUUUUGUGAAUAGAGAAAUGAUAUAUAUACAAUCAUUUUCAAACAACUUUUGUAAUAACUUUAUCUCUCAUUUUUAUAUUUUAUUUUUAUUUUUUUCUCUAUUAUUUUGGUUUUCGUUUAUGAUUUUUUGUAAGAAAAUGAUUGUCUAUGUAGUUAUCAAUCACAUUGAUGUUCAAAUAACAUUGCUUUUGUGAAUAAUGCAAAAUAGUUUCUCGGAACAAUCAAUUAUUCAAUUGAUAUUUACGAAAUUAGUUUUUGUAGGGUGUCCCUAUAAAUCACAUAUACUUUAAAACAGUCAUAUGUAUUCACGAUUCGAGAUCUUAUAAAAAAACCAUUCCAGAUCAUGUAUGAAAAUGAAAUAUAUAUUUUUUUUGACUGGUGUAUGAAAAUGAAAUAUUUUCAAAAAUAAAAUAUACUCUCUGCCCAUAUAAUGUCAGCGUAGGUGUCGGUGUUUUUCUACCGACUAUAAGAAAAACUGUAAAAUAAAUAAAACAAUAUAGUAAUUUAAAUUAGUGAUUGUAAAUUAUUGUCUUAAAUGUAUAGUUCAAUAUAAUAGAUUAAAAAUGAUGAAAAAAAUAUUAAUUUAAGAGUAGAAUUGAAAUAACAUAUAUGUUUUCGAUAGUUUAACUAAAUUGAUAAAGACAUUGCAUAAUAAUAUACAAGUGUUUUGAAAUUCCAUUUAUUCAUUACAUGUGAAUUUUUAGAUAUUAAACUAUUUGGAAAAUAAAAUAAAAUAUCAAAUAAUUAAGGUUUAAAUAUGUAAGUAGUCCCUGUAAUUUCGCGUAUUUUUGUUUUCGUUCCUGUAAGUUAUUUUGUUCUAAAACAAACUCUGUAUUUUGCUAACCUUUUGGAAAAGGUCCUUGCCGUCAGCUUCCGUCAACAAAAACGCCAUGGUGGCUAACGGAGCACACGUGGCAGUUCAUGAGUUGGCAAAGUUGAUGAGAUGGAAUGAGAGAUGAUAAGUUGUUAAAAUACAGGGACUAAAAUCAAAAACGUAAAUUGACACAGGGAUGAAAUUAAAAAAACGUUUAAUCUUCUUUUUCCUCUCAAAUUUCAGUCUUCUUCUUCCUCUCAAACUUUCCCCAAUCUAUCCCAUACCUUGCGCCCUUGAACCAAAACUCAUAUCCUUCAACAAUUUAUUCUAAUUCCAUUACUCAAUCAUAUUGUGUGUUUUGAUUGUAAUGUUAAGUUGAAACAUUGUAUGCUACUUAAGUUUGAUUAAUUUAGUGAUGGUUGUUGCGAUUGAUUGCAAAUUCAUUCAUAAAGUUUGUAGAUAAUAAAGGCAAGAAUACAUCUUUUUCAUCCCUCUUUUUUUUCCACAAUUCCCUCUUAUUCUUCCAGAUUGCUACAAUUACCAUACAUAAAUAGUCAGAUCCCCUUUCAUCUUUUCUCACUCACAUUCAAAUUCAAACUCUAAUUUCUCAAAUUUUUGCUUUUGAAUUGUGUAAUUUUGUGUUUUUAUGUAAUUGGUGUAGAGAGUUUAUGUUGUUUUAAUGUGUUGAUUAAGAGUGGGUCUUGUUGUUGUUGAUUGAUGAUUAUUAGUUUUGUUUAAAAAAAUAUAUAUGUUUGUUGUUUUCUUUCUUUUCCUGGGUUUGGUGUUGAUGAUUUAUGAAUAUGGUGAUGAAGAUGAAGAAGACAAUGAAGGAAGAAGAAGAAUAAGAUCUUGAUUUUAAAUUUGAAAUUUUGAUUUUACGUUUUUUAUUUUAGUCCCUGUGGUAAUUUACGCUUUUGAUUUUAGUCCCUGACUUUACACAACUAAUCAUCUCUCAUGCCAUCUCAUCAAAUGUGCCAAGUCAUGACCUGCCACCUGUGCUCCGUUAGCCACAAUGGCGUUUUUGUUGACAGAAGCUGAUGGUAAGGACCAUUUUCAAAAGGUCAAAAAGAUACAAGGUUUAUUUUAUAUAAAAAAAAAAACUUACAAGGACGAAAACAAAAAAUACGCGAACUUAGAGGAACCUUUUACAUAUUUAAGCCAAUAACUAAUAGCACUUAUUUUGGUACAUUUCUCUUUUGCAAAUGUGAAACUUAAUAUUGGAUGGGGUCAAUAAUUUUGAGAAUGAAUAAACCCAUUAUUUAGUCUUUUAAUUUUUUUUUUCCAUCCAUCAGGUUUCUAAACUAUUUACAAACACUAAAUGUCCUUAAGACAUAGCUCAAGUAACAAUAUUGAUAUUGAGAAGUUGGAUAUUUUCAUCCGAGUUUGAACUCGAAUUCUUGCAAUUACGAGUGUGAAUUUCAGGUAAUUUAUAUCAAUUUAUCUGUAAACAAAAGGAGAUAUAUACGCGUAACAAAUAGGUCUAAUGCAAAUUAACAACUUAUUUUUAGUUUAUAAAAUAUAUGAAAUUUAAUCCUUUAGUCCCUAGUAUAUUUUAACAAUGGGCACUAAAGCAACAUAUAUUUCAUAUAUUUUAAAUACUACUACAUCUUUCCUUAUGUAUAAGCUCAUUUGACAUUUUCACAUAUAUUAAAAAAGUUAGUAGUGUCUUGACAAAAAAGAAGCUCCUUAGAGUUUCCUUAUGUAUAUUUUUUUAAACCGAAAAAAUUGUGUACAAAAAAUGACUAUUAUUACUAAAAAAAAUCUUUUGCAUAUAGAUGUGUUCAACAUUUAUUUUGCAAUUCUCAAGACAAAUCAGUGGUACAUCUUAAUAAGUGAUAUAUUUGUUAGGAAAAAAAAUUACUAUAUGUAUCUAGUUAUUUGCAAGACUAAUGAUUCUUAGCAAAUAUGCUUAUAUUGAGAGAACUUUUUUCUAAAGAGAGCUUAUAAUUAGAGACUAAGAUUUUGCCAAAAAAUAAAGAAAAAUUAGAGAAUAAGGUUUAUACUAUACUUUAGAAACUAAUUUGAUGAGAUACGACUAAAUCGAAGAUAUAUUUUUUUAGAAUAGUGUUAGAACCUUAGAAAUUAUAAUCAAUAGAAAUAGAAAUGUUCCUUACAGAUCCAUAAUAGUGACAAUCUUGUCUUUUCUUUUGAGGAAAUAAUAAUAAAGGUGGUGCCAACAUUUCAACAAACCUAGCUAUUUUAAUUAUUCUGUUCUCACAGCCUGCACCUUAGAUCAAAUCCAAAUUGGGUCAUCACCGUUCCAAAAUGCUUAGGGACGUUACUCUAAAUGUCAAUAUGAAUGAGUAAUUCAAAUAGUUAACAUAGCCCGCCAGCCUUAUAUAAUAAUAUCAAUAUAUGUCGACUAAUUAUCGAGAUGCUAAAUUGGAGUACACUUCACAAACAAAAAUCUUUCAUAAGGCGUUUUUUCUCUUAAUACAUUUUUUCUUUUCUUAUGCUAGUAACAUUUACUCUGUAUUGGCCUUCCUAAGAAGAAGUUGGAUAGUAGCAAUGUGUUCGUGAGACUGCUGAUAUCUUAAAAGAAUGUUCUCAUAGAUUCCACUUUUUUAGUAAGCUUUUAUGUGUAUGAGUUUGCAAAUUUAACCCUUUUUAAUUCGGAUAGAUUUAUAAGUCACACCUUCAAGUACAAUCGACAAAAUUUCAGUAAUAAUUACGGUUUAGGGUUUAUGGGUCUAGAUCUACUAAAAAUGAGUGGGUGUAUAAAUUAGUAUAUCCUAGAGUUUAUUAUCUUACGUUCGAUCUUCUUUGCAGAAACUCGUGCAUGUUCGUGAUAUAUAUUUUCGCGAGAAGUACAUUUCCCUAAAACAAAAUCAACCACUGACAUAAACACGUCAAAUGUAAGCCGGUAAAUCCAAGCUUUACUAACACGAGUUAUAUUAUAUCAUUGGCAUCAGCUACUUAAGAACUACUGUAGAAAAUUUACAGCAAGUCAUCGAGGCUUAAUAAAAUGUGUUGAUAUAGUUACAAAGAUAAAUUAAAUAGCAGAGCAUACAUGAAGAGAACAAAUGUAGAGCAACCCCUUAAACAAACCCUCUCAGUAAGGUAUCUUCACAUUACUCUAAGUUCAUAAAAGAUGACUUUAAAAACGAUUAUUUCAAAAUGCAAGUAUUCUCCGACCCCUUUUUCCCGGAUCUAGAUCUAAUAGUGUAAGGAUAUAUAUAAAUCAUUGUCACAUUUUACAACUCAAGAGUUUACCUCAACUCGUUUUGUUUAGGUAAAUUCGACUCGAGAACUCGUAUGACUUUACCUAAAAUUAAAAUUAUAUAAAAUUUAUUAUAUAUGCAUGACAUAUGUAAGUUAAUAUAAUAUUGUAAAUAGGUCAAUAGUGCAAAAUAUGACUUAAUUACAAAGACAAAUUAUACCAUAAUAAAAUGUUAUGCUCAACUUAGCUUCAAAAUACAAAAAUUAACGCACAAAAUCAUAAGUCUCUAAGUUUAAGCCAUCCAUAAAACCAUCCAAAAAAAGAAAGUUUCACAAGUUCCUAAAGUUAUUAAUAAAACUAUCUAAAAAAUAAAGUAGUUAAUUUCUUCAAAACGUCAACAAACACCACCACAACAACCCUAACCAGUGUCACAAUCACCGGCGUUGAAAUAUGAAUUUCCACCGUCUGAAUCACAACCCUAAAUGGUAUGUGCUCCCCUGUUCAUGGUUUGAGAACUUAGAAAAGAAAAAGGGCAAUCCGGUGCACUAAAGCUCCCACAUACGCAGGGUCCGGGAAGGGGUCCCACCAUUUUUUGUGUAUUGUACGCAACCUUACCCUGUUUUUGAUCACAAAAGAAAAAGAAACGUUUCAUUUUAGGAACAACUUGUCACUGUAAAGGUAACUAUUAAUUAAACGUUUCAGUCUUUGGGGUUGUAGAAAAGGAAUUGGAUUUUGAAAAAAAUGGGCACAUAAAAAGGGCCAAUUUUUAGAUGUAAACUCGUAAAACUCAGUAAACUCGGUCGAGUUUACACGAGUUUACCUAGUGUUAACUCGGUCAAACUCGUUAAACCUUCCAAUUUUACCAGAAACCGAGUUUACCUCCGAAUUAACAUGAUUUUGGCACCUACGUAAACUCGAAGAGUUAACACUCAAUUUGCGGAACAUUGCAUAUAUAUUUAAAGAUAUAUGUAUAAUUAUAGAGAAAGUAGAGAAGGGAUAUACCAUUUUAUGUAGGGUUAUUAUGUAUCAAAUCAUAAAGAGUCGAGAGUUGUAUUAUACCAUAAUAUUCUUCCGUAAACUGGUAGUCAUGAUCAUGACGUAUAUUAUUCAAGUAUAUGCAAAAACAUGUCUGUAUCUAGUCUAAAUUUUUGACCAAAUGCAUGUAUUUGCUUAUAUUUUGUUACUACUUACUACUCGCCAAGUAAUGCUCAAUAUCUAAUAUAUAUAUUUCAAGACCAUCAAAGAUAACUCAGUUGAACAAUACAUAAUAUAUGCAAGGUUCGGGGUAUAUUACAUUUUCAAUUAUUCUAAUAAUAAAUUUAAAUGACACUUAAAUUAUACAACUAUUAAAUAGAUCUUAGUACCGUAAAAUUUAUAUUCGAGACUUGCUAGGGAGAACCAUCAACCUCAACAAAAAUUUCUACUUGAAUCUAACGCAAACAAAAGGUCCAACCAUCUAUGAAUCUCCGUUGAUAUCACAAAUGAUGUUUGAUACAAGAGAGACAUAUUAGAACAUAAUCUAUGUACAAUCUACAUUAAAAUAAAAAACAAGUCUACAGUCAUAUAAAUAACACAAUUUCAAAAUCUCAAAAUUAGGUAUGAAAACAAAAUGAUUAGAAAAAUAAAUGAUUCAAUCAUUCCGAGAUUUGUGCAAAAAAAAAAAAAAAAACAUUUUGAAAAUACAAUGUUAGAAACUUAUGAUCAAUAUAUAUUUUUCCUUACACAUCAAAAAUAAUUAAGCUAUAUUCUUGUCUUUUCAUUUUGGGCAAACUAAAAUUAAAAUCAAGGUAGUGUCAAUGUUUCUAUAGUCCUAGCUAUUUGAUUUUCUUCUAAGCUAACAAGAGUCUUCCAAAAUCAAAUUCGCGCUCAAAAUUAAAGCAACUUGGGUGGUAACCAUUCCAAAAUACUUAGGGCCACAUUGCUCUAAAAGUCAAUAAGAAUAAGUAAUAAUUCAAAGAUAGCCAACCUUAUAGUAUAUUUUAAUAUGAAUGUAUGCAUGUUUCCUAGAAGGUGAGUAAGCUAACUAAUCAAGAUACUUUGUUGGAGUUAAAUAUGGUAAAGAAUCCAACUAUAAAAUGGGGACUUGCCCCAGCAUUCUUUCACAAACCAAAACCAACUUCUAAGAAAAAAAUGAGGUCCCUAAUGGCCUCUGCUUCUCUCACUCUUGCAUUAGCCAUCCUCUUUUUGAGUUUCCCAUCUGAAAUUUCAGCAAACAAAUACGCAUAUUCCUCUCCACCACCACCACAUUACUCAUCUCCUCCACCUCCACCGGUUCACACUUACCCUAAACCAGUCUACCACUCUCCACCACCACCAGUUCACACCUACCCUAAACCAGUUUACCACUCUCCACCACCACCAGUUCACAAGUACCCUCACCCUAAACCAGUAUACCACUCUCCACCACCCCCAGUUCACAAGUACCCUCAUCCACACCCAGUCUACCAUUCUCCACCACCCCCAGUUCACAAGUACCCCCAUCCUCACCCAGUGUACCACUCUCCCCCACCACCACCACCAAAGAAGUCCUACAAAUACCCAUCUCCCCCACCACCACCAGUUCACACCUACCCUAAACCAGUCUACCACUCUCCUCCACCCCCAGUUCAUCACACCUACCCUAAACCAGUCUACCACUCUCCUCCACCCCCAGUUCACACCUACCCUCACCCUAAACCAGUCUACCACUCUCCACCACCCCCAGUUCACACUUACCCUAAACCAGUCUACCACUCCCCACCACCACCAGUUCACACCUACGUCCCUCACCCUAAGCCAGUCUACCACUCUCCACCACCACCAGUUCACACCUAUCCCCCACAUGUUCCCCACCCAGUUUACCAUUCUCCUCCUCCUCCAGUUCAUUCCCCACCUCCACCACACUAUUACUACAAAUCACCUCCUCCACCUUACCACAACUAGAUAGCCCAUAAUUGGCAUCACACCAUAUGGUAACUUUUCAUGCAACAUAUAUAUUAUAACUUUUCAUAUUCUCUCUUUAUUAACUAGUUAUCGGUAUGAUUGUCGAGUAUAUACUAACAAGGCUAAUUUGAAAUGAAACUUCAUGUGCAAUGAAACAUUCUUUUACUGGUUAAUAUUUUAUUCUAUGUUUCAUUGAAAUUAAUAUUUUUCUAAUAGUAUUUGGUUAUUAAGGGAUUAGAGUAUAUCAGACAUAAACUGACAGAUCAAUAUAUUUGCAUUUGUGUA